rnacentral:rRNA from 1 species
UACGUAGGUGGCAAGCGUUGUCCGGAAUUAUUGGGCGUAAAGCGCGCGCAGGUGGUCCUUUAAGUCUGAUGUGAAAGCCCACGGCUCAACCGUGGAGGGUCAUUGGAAACUGGGGGACUUGAGUACAGAAGAGGAAAGUGGAAUUCCACGUGUAGCGGUGAAAUGCGUAGAGAUGUGGAGGAACACCAGUGGCGAAGGCGACUUUCUGGUCUGUAACUGACACUGAGGCGCGAAAGCGUGGGGAGCGAACAGG